UCUUGAUGGAGAGUUUGAUCCUGGCUCAGGAACAACGCUGGCGGCGUGCCUAAUGCAUGCAAGUCGUACGGGAGCCGCUUUGGCGGUCGACCGUGGCGGACGGGUGAGGAACACGUGGGUAACCUGCCCCGGCGCGGGGGAUAACCGCGGGAAACCGUGGCUAAUACCCCAUGGGCUCGGUUGGGGGGUGGCCUGAUCGAGCAAAGGCGGAAGCCGUGCCGGGAGGGGCCUGCGGCCUAUCAGCUAGACGGUGGGGUAAUGGCCUACCGUGGCGAUGACGGGUAGCUGGUCUGAGAGGACGAUCAGCCACACGGGGACUGAGACACGGCCCCGACUCCUACGGGAGGCAGCAGCAAGGAAUUUUCCGCAAUGGGCGCAAGCCUGACGGAGCGACGCCGCGUGGAGGAUGACGCCCUUCGGGGUGUAAACUCCUUUUCGGGGGGACGAAGGCAGUGACGGUACCCCCGGAAGAAGCACCGGCUAACUACGUGCCAGCAGCCGCGGUAAGACGUAGGGUGCGAGCGUUGUCCGGAGUUACUGGGCGUAAAGGGCGCGUAGGCGGCUGCCCGCGUCGCACGUGAAAGCCCCCGGCUCAACCGGGGAGGGUCGUGCGAGACGGGGUGGCUAGAGGCAGGGAGAGGCUGGUGGAAUUCCCGGUGUAGCGGUGAAAUGCGUAGAGAUCGGGAGGAACACCGGUGGCGAAGGCGGCCAGCUGGCCCUGACCUGACGCUGAGGCGCGAAGGCGCGGGGAGCGAACGGGAUUAGAUACCCCGGUAGUCCGCGCAGUAAACGCUGUGGACUAGGUGUGGGAGGUGUUGACCCCUUCCGUGCCGGCGCUAACGCAGUAAGUCCACCGCCUGGGGAGUACGGCCGCAAGGCUAAAACUCAAAGGAAUUGACGGGGGCCCGCACAAGCAGCGGAGCGUGUGGUUUAAUUCGACGCAACGCGCAGAACCUUACCAGGGCUUGACAUCCCCGGAACCCCUGGGAAACCGGGGGGUGCCCUUCGGGGAGCCGGGAGACAGGUGCUGCAUGGCUGUCGUCAGCUCGUGUCGUGAGAUGUUGGGUUAAGUCCCGCAACGAGCGCAACCCUCGUGGCUAGUUACGGUGGUGUCUAGCCAGACUGCCGGGCACAACCCGGAGGAAGGGGGGGAUGACGUCAAGUCCGCAUGGCCCUGACGCCCUGGGCGACACACACGCUACAAUGGCCGGGACAGCGGGCGGCCAAGCGGCAACGCGGAGCCAAUCCCUCAAACCCGGUCUCAGUUCGGAUUGGGGGCUGCAACUCGCCCCCAUGAAGGCGGAGUUGCUAGUAACCGCAGGUCAGCCAUACUGCGGUGAAUAUGUUCCCGGGCCUUGUACACACCGCCCGUCACGUCACGAAAGCCGGCAACACCUGAAGCCGGUGGGCCAACCCGAUACGGGAGGCAGCCGUCGAGGGUGGGGCUGGUGAUUGGGACGAAGUCGUAACAAGGUAGCCGUAGCGGAAGCUGCGGCUGGAUCACCUCCUUUCU
rnacentral:rRNA from 1 species